ACUCCGUUAUUGAGUUUUGUUGUAUCAGAGUACCACUCACUGGUUUCAUCCCAAAGUUCUUUAUACUCGUCAAGAAAAUGAGUGGUAUACUUGUCUUUAAGAGGGUCGAAGAAAGAUGUAUCAGGUUCAUUUGUUGCUAUGUAGAGAUUCCUUCCUUCCUCAAUCUUGUCACCCAAGGUUGAAAGAAGUGCAUCAGGAGAAGUAUGUGCAUCAAGAUUAGGCCACAGCUCCUUGUUCCUUGCCUUUUCCCCUCUCACAACAUGAACAGAAUCGUAGUCCCAAUUCAUCUUUGAAGCUAUUGCAGACACUAUAUCCAUCAAC
rnacentral:lncRNA from 1 species